CCUACGGGAGGCAGCAGUGGGGAAUAUUGGGCAAUGGGCGCAAGCCUGACCCAGCAACGCCGCGUGAAGGAAGAAGGCUCUCGGGUUGUAAACUUCUUUUAUCAGGGACGAAGCAAGCGACGGUACCUGAUGAAUAAGCCACGGCUAACUACGUGCCAGCAGCCGCGGUAAUACGUAGGUGGCAAGCGUUAUCCGGAUUUACUGGGUGUAAAGGGCGUGUAGGCGGGAAAGCAAGUCAGAUGUGAAAACCCUGGGCUCAACCUGUGGCCUGCAUUUGAAACUGGUUUUCUUGAGUACUGGAGAGGCAGACGGAAUUCCUAGUGUAGCGGUGAAAUGCGUAGAUAUGAGGAGGAACACCAGUGGCGAAGGCGGUCUGCUGGACAGCAACUGACGCUGAGGCGCGAAAGCGUGGGGAGCAAACAGGAUUAGAUACCCGUGUAGUC
rnacentral:rRNA from 1 species